AGACCCGAAACCCGGUGAUCUAGCCAUGGGCAGGUUGAAGGUUGGGUAACACUAACUGGAGGACCGAACCGACUAAUGUUGAAAAAUUAGCGGAUGACCUGUGGCUGGGGGUGAAAGGCCAAUCAAACCGGGAGAUAGCUGGUUCUCCCCGAAAGCUAUUUAGGUAGCGCCUCGUGAAUUCAUCUCCGGGGGUAGAGCACUGUUUCGGCUAGGGGGCCAUCCCGGCUUACCAACCCGAUGCAAACUGCGAAUACCGGAGAAUGUUAUCACGGGAGACACACGGCGGGUGCUAACGUCCGUCGUGAAGAGGGAAACAACCCAGACCGCCAGCUAAGGUCCCAAAGUCAUGGUUAAGUGGGAAACGAUGUGGGAAGGCCCAGACAGCCAGGAUGUUGGCUUAGAAGCAGCCAUCAUUUAAAGAAAGCGUAAUAGCUCACUGGUCGAGUCGGCCUGCGCGGAAGAUGUAACGGGGCUAAACCAUGCACCGAAGCUGCGGCAGCGACACUGUGUGUUGUUGGGUAGGGGAGCGUUCUGUAAGCCUGCGAAGGUGGCCUGUGAGGGUUGCUGGAGGUAUCAGAAGUGCGAAUGCUGACAUAAGUAACGAUAAAGCGGGUGAAAAGCCCGCUCGCCGGAAGACCAAGGGUUCCUGUCCAACGUUAAUCGGGGCAGGGUGAGUCGACCCCUAAGGCGAGGCCGA
rnacentral:rRNA from 1 species